ACUUGUAGCUUUGAUGAAGGGGAGAGGUGAACUGCAACCACGUGGGGGAAAAAAGAAGAAGAAAAGGAAGCUUCAGACGAGAGAGACGACGACCACCUCCAUUUACAUUUACAUUUUCUUUUUCUUUUUCUUUUUCUUUUUCUUAUAUAUAUAUAUGUAUGUGUGUGUGUGUGUGUGGGUGUGCUUGCAAUUAAAUAAUAUAAUAUAAUAGGCAGGCAGCCGGCGCUUUGAUUGAAGAUGGAGGGAUGGAGGGAGGGAAGAAUGUUUGUAUGGAUGGAAGCUUUGGAAAUGGAGAAGAAGUAAAGAACAGAGCCAGAAGAUGGAGAAGAUGAAGAAAGGAGGAGAGCUCACAUAUAUAAUCCUUCACGGUCAUGGCUUCUGUUUUCUGUGGUGGCGGUGACAUCUGAGCCGCCCCGCCGUAGCGUAUGAUUGCCUUCAGAGCCCAUAUGUAUGGUCUCUGUGCGUGUGUGAUUUUAUUUCGUGCAGCUAGCUACAAUAAUGGAUAAAUAAGUUGUGCAUGAUGCAACCUAGGGGUGUGCAUUAGGGGUGUGCAUGGGUACCGGGUAUACCCGGAACCGGUCGGAACCUACCCGUUAGGGUAGAGUCCGAGUAGCUCGUAUUGAAAAUAGGGUAGGGUCCGGGUAUCAAAAUAAAGAACCGGUCACAUCCGGUUCCGGUUCCGGUUCUAAUUUACUGGGUACCCAGAACCGGAAUUGGAAUCGGUAUCCGGAACCGGAUGGUAAUUACAAAAAAAAAAAAAAGAAGGGAAAGUUAAUCUCACUCAUCAGUAUUCAGUCUCAUUGUUUGAAGCAGGCUGCAGGGGUCGGGAGAAGUGGAGAACGCAGGAUUCAUCGCCUCCGACUUUCGGUGACCGCACUGCAGCUCCUCUCCGUCGCUCCCGUCGUCAUCUUUGCCAGUGUUUCAAGCUCUGCGUUUGGUUCUGGAUUUAUCAUCCCCGCUGCAGCUCAUUUGGUGAAGUGGAAAUUACUGCCUGAAAUCUGGUAGUUUCAAAAUCAGGUCUGAUCUUGUCUGUUUCUUUUGGCUGUAAAUUCGUAAUGACGGAGGACCCUGCCUUCCCCAACCCCCGGCAAAUCACCAUUUUCUUUUUCC